GAUGAACGCUGGCGGCGUGCCUAAUACAUGCAAGUCGAGCGAACAGACGAGGAGCUUGCUCCUCUGACGUUAGCGGCGGACGGGUGAGUAACAAGUGGAUAACCUACUUCUAAGACUGGGAUAACUUCGGGAAACCGGAGCUAAUACUGGAUCAUAUAUUGAACCGCAUGGUUCAAUAGUGAAAGACGGCUUUGCUGUUUCUUAUAGCUGGAUCCGCGCCGGAUUAGCUAGUUGGUAAGGUAACGGCUUACCAAGGCAACGAUGCGUAGCCGACCUGAGAGGAUGAUCGGCCACACUGGAACUGAGACACGGUCCAGACUCCUACGGGAGGCAGCAGUAGGGAAUCUUCCGCAAUGGGCGAAAGCCUGACGCAGCAACGCCGCGUGAGUGAUGAAGGUCUUCGGAUCGUAAAGCUCUGUUAUUAGGGAAGAACAAAUGUGUAAGUAACUAUGCACGUCUUGACGGUACCUAAUCAGAAAGCCACGGCUAACUACGUG
rnacentral:rRNA from 1 species